GGAAAAUUCCCGAAAGGAGGGCGGGGAUGCCGUGACCGACACAGGGGCAGAGUCCCCCGUCCGCGGGCCUCUCCUCGCAGCUGGGAGUAGGUGCAGCUGCGUGGAAAAAGGGCGGCAGCACGCAAACACACCGGGCUCUGACGGCUCACACAGCAGAAGCUGGCGUGGUGAACCCGCAGGAACCCACAGACUCACCAGGGACCCAGGCUUCUACUGCAAGGCCGCGAGUGAACUCUGGAGCUCCGACGACCUUCGACUAUUACAUAAAUUCGUUCCAAGUAAACAGAGGAGGUGAGGCUCCGGGGCUGCUUCCUGUGAGAGAUCUUUCUGGAAAUUCCUCCCAGGGCUGCUGCUUUUUUCUGAUCGACCGGGACUUGGUUGCGUGGUCAAGGGAAGCCAGAACAUGUGGACAGUCAGCUGGGGUGCUGAGAUGGGGCAAGUGUGGACUGUCGAGUGUCUGGCUUCCAUCCGGCCCAGAAGAACAGAAGAAAGGGGACUCCUUCCCAGAAUGAUGAGAUGACACUGGACAACUUAAUGGAAAAUCCUUGGGGCCCACUGAGGCAUUAAAUAGUUGGUUUCCACAUGGAGGCCUCCAUCGCUGGG
rnacentral:lncRNA from 1 species